AAGAUUGUUUUAUGUUAGUCUUUUAAACUGGGAAAAUGCUCUCACAAUGUUUGUUAGGAAAGAAUAUUGAAAUGAUAUAAUAUUCCUUCUCCAUCACGAAUUUCAUUCAUAUUUUAAAUGUUUUAACUGUGUGUGUGUUUGUGUAUGUUUGUGUGAUGGUCUCUCUCUCUGUCCCCUAGGCUGGAGUACAAUGGCAAGAUCUGCUGGGAUUACAGGAACAUAUUCACCCAGAUCGGAGUGAAGUGAUAAGAUCAUGGGUUACGACAACCUCUAACUCCCAGGCUCAAGCAAUUCUUUCACUACAGCCUUCCAAGUUGCUAGAGCUACAGGCACAGUCCAAAUACCCAGUGUCUCUACAAGCAAUUAUAACAUCUCUUAUCCAUCUCUUCCAAAACGUGUUAUAAGUGUGAGCAUCUUCCAUUUCUUCAUUUCUGAAAGGGAAUUGGAGAAGGACCAUUCGUAUAUCUCCCAUUUCUGGAUCUGUUCCAAUUUGUGGAUUAAAACUUGGGUGCAGGCAGGUUUUGUGACCAAGUAAAAAAACUUCCUGGUCAAUAACUCCUGAAAUGUUAGAGUGCACAUGCUUCCUAAUGAAAUGGAAACAUAGAGAAUGUAAUAAAAAUUAAAAUGAGAAAAGCAUUUCAUUUUACCUCAAUUUAAACUUAAAUGGUUGCUGUAUAUAAUUUUCCUAGUUCGCACAUGGUUGGUCAUGCCUGUAAUCCCAGCACUGUGAGAGGCUGAGGAAGGCACAUUACUUCAGGUCAGGAGUUUGAUACCUGUCUGGAAAAUAUGUUGAAACCUCAUCUCUACUAAAAAUACAGAGAAGAAGAAAAAAACAAAAGCUAGGCCGAGUGGCAUGCUCCUUUAGUCCCAGCUACUAGGGAGGCUCAGCAAGAGAAUCACUU
rnacentral:lncRNA from 1 species